CGGAGUCCCUCCGGCGGCGGCGGCUGCGCCGGUGCGGCCGCGGCUCUGACAGCGCUUUCUGCCCCGCCUCCACCCCCCACUCCCCGCCCCCGAGCGAGCGCGAGCUGCCGGCGGGACCCGCCGCUAAUGGGCCAGCAUUUUUCCUGAGCUGCAGUAAGAAGGCUGAUCCUGCCCCUCUCGAAUCUCUUCAUACACAGGAAGGUCUCAGCUGCAUGGCUUUAGAUCACGCAGGAAGAUACAUCCUUGGGAGAGAUGGCACCUUCCCUUCAUGCCUUAUUUGGGGUGCAUGGACAUAUUUCUAGACCCCUUCUUAUUUAACACAACCCUUUGCUGGCUUAGAGUGUCAGAACAAGUUUAAGAUGGUGUAGAUAUGUCACCACUGCACUGUACACUUGAUGCUGAAGCUGAAUAAGAAUGAACGUCAACUGUAUUUUAAUAUAUAUAUGGUCACAGGAUGUAAAGUACAGCGUAGGGAAUACAGUCAAUGGAAUUGUAACAGCUCUAUAUGAGGUCAGAUGGGAAGUAGAUUGGGGGAGGGUGUUUAUCACUUUG